CUCCAGCCCUGCUCUCCACUAUAGCAGAGCACUGCCUGGGGCUACCCUCGACCUCCAGAGUCCCCACUGCCUCUCCCUGAUCUCACAGGGCAGCCAGGAAGGAAGCUGCCACGCACCAAUAGAGAGGGGUCUAGAAUGCCUGACCACCCCCUCUCUUUAGUGCCUCUACUUAGCAAGCUGUGGCUUCAAGUUUUCUCUUUCUCUGCAGUACCUUGCAAAGCAGGGGUUAGGUCCCUGCAGGGACUUGUGGGGGUCCUCUUGAAAGAACAUCCCCCAAGAACUCAGUAACACCUUGAGGUCCUCAGACUAUUUUCUUUGUUAUGAGGCGAAAAAUAGCUGAGACAUCUUAAGGGGAAGAUGGAUUUGGAGGCGUGGCUUCAGUGAUCACAGCUCAUGGACACUUAGCUCUGUGCAUGGUCAAAUACCAAGAACAGUUUGCCAGGAUCCAGAAUCUCCUGGGAGACAAAACUGCAUGACUGAAAAAGCGUUUCUAGAUGAGUUCAUCGAAGGGGGCAGUAUCAUUUCCUGAGCUGGGGUUGUGGGAAGAAUAAAGCAGAGACCUGGAGUUGAAGUGAUCAUCACCAUUCAUCUCUCUGCUUCCCGACUGGAUGCAGUGUGACCAGGGCCCACCAGCCAUGAUAGACUCUGCCUUUGAACUGGGAGCCAACACCAACCCUCUCCUCUUAAGCUGCUUCUAUUGGUUAUUUUGUCACAGUGAUGAGCAAAGUAACUCAUCUAAAAGUGUGGACACUUAGGAGCCCAGUGCUGCCUCCUGCUGAGAACCAGGACCUGAGCUUUGGCAAGGGGUGGUAGAGGACACACCCUUCACAUUGGUUCUUAGACGUGAAUGGCUUUAAAGCCAUUAGGGAGCAAUCUAGACAUUCUCUAAGAUUAAAGGACAGUAUUUGAAGAGAAACAAGAAAUUCUCUCUGUGACAAGUGCAGCUAUGACAUUGUUCAAGGGUAUUUCUGUCCAAUUCCAUUUCUCGUUCCAUUCAGAUAACAUAGGUUAUGGUUUUAAACCACUACCCACUGUUUGAUUCAUGGCUUUAUUUUUGAAUUUGAAAAUAAAUCAAACAUACCACUACUGUUAUUUCAUACUGUCUGAUAAUAGCCCAUCAGUGCUCAGGUAAUAACUUUCUUAAAGUACUGGAUUUUGUUCUGCCUGUGAUAUCAACUGUGCAUCUCUGGAAAAAUCAUGUAAAAAUCUCUAAGCUUUGGCUAAUUUAUGUUUGAAGUAAUAAACUGGUUUGUUUAUUAUAA